ACCUGGCCCCACCCCUCUGGAGGCAGAGGAAGGAGGGACCCAGAGGGAAGGAGGCGGGGGCGGUUAGCGCCGGUCGGCGCCGCCGUCGGCCCCGCCCUCACGCUCUGUACCUGAGGGGGGCUCGUCCUCCACCUCCCCGGCGCCUUCGCUCCGCUUCCGUCCCGCGCGCCCCCAGUUCCCGUGCGCACGCGUACCUGGCUCGACCUUCCUUCUCGCGGGGACUAGAAGCCGUGCGUGCGCAGCCACGCACGUAGCGACGCGUACGUCCACCUGCCCGCCGUACAGGGUGCGUAGUAGAGGCCUCUUCGUGGUCCAUCCGCGCCGCGCAGGCGUAGGCCCACGCUGCGCUUAGCCUUCCCACACGAGCGUCCCGUCUCCUAGUAACCAGCCGCUGCCCUCUUCUUCACCACUAAAUUCCCUGCUUGCAGCUGCACCUGAAUAGAACACGCAUGCGCAGGGCUGCAUCUCCGCCAGCCUCCCUCCCUUGGCUCUAGAACACUUGCUGCUUCGCUAUUGCCGCUUUGUAGCAUUUUUUUCCCCCCUAGGGAUAUAUUACCGUUUUGGACCCGCUUUCAGUGAACUCGUUACUCCCCAGAGCUGCUUUUGGGCAGUGGGAGGUUGUUGAGCUCUCCUGCCGUGGCAAGGGGCCGGUUUUCAGGGAAUCUCCUAGGUUGGGUUCUGCUGCUGCAUCCUCUCAGAAGGGAGAAGUUCUUUCUGUUCGGAUGAAAUAGGUAACUAGAUUUUUAUAGCUGUUCUCUGAUGAUCUUGAUAAAGUUUGCACCUCUGUAUUUCAAAUAAUUUCACAUUUGAAGAGACUAACAAUUCCUGUUUUUGCCAGUUUCUGCGGAAUGCCUGCUUUGUUCGGCUCAUGGUGUCCUUUUAUCUUCAAAGCCAGCAAUAGCCAGUCAGGUCCUUCCCACCUUGCAUCAUUCUAGCAGUGACGUUCCCACCUCUCUUCACCUAUGCAGACCCGUGAUCACCAGUGAUGAGUCCAGGAUAAUCUCGCCACCUUAAGAUUUUUUUCUUGAAUAGCAACGUGAAUGUCAGGCCAAAGGGGCCCCAAAUACACUUGUUCUCCCUUCGUGUCCACAAGAUUCCAGACAAGUUAAGAACCUUUCCAAGUCCUCCCUCCAUGUUGCACACUCAUAUCUCCUAACCGAUUGGGUAUCUAUACUAAGAGGUACUGUAUCUUUAUUGGACUUUUUCUUUUUUUGUACCGUGGUAAAAUAUACAUACAAUUUACCAUCUUAACCAUUUUUAAGUGUACAGUUCAGUGUAUUAAGGACAUUCAGCAUGAUGUUAAAUCCUUUUAAGGGUAGUUUUCUCUUAGGGUGGGAGGGCCCCCUGUCCCUCCCGCCUGCCUUCCAGCUAUCCUUCAUCAUUUCCCCCUCUGAAGAGGUAACCCUAACUGCUAUUAGGGAAGAAGGGUGAUGACCAAUUGUAGCUACUUCCUGCUGGUCAGGGGCAUUGGAUGGGUUAGCAGUCAGGGUUCCUCUCAUCUCAUUCUAUCAAGGGGUCCCCUGUAGGUGUCUGGUUUGACUUUUAUGUGAGGCUCCACCUGAUCCACCAUUUGGAAUGUGAUGACCUUUAUUCUGGAAGAUAUAAAGCCGGUUAGGGCACUUAGGAGGCAAAGCCCAAAGCACAAUGCAAGACCGAGUAUAGCCAGGGGUCUAGUGAGAGAUAGGGGAUGUUUUAGUGAACUCCCCCACACACUCUGAGGAGAGGGCAGGAAAAGGGAAACCCAUAAGGACUAUGAUUUUGAUGGGCUAAAGGGAAGGUAACAUUUAAGAAGAGUUAUCUGUGACUUGUAUCUUCAAGUCUAGUUUGAGGUCCUUUCUGGGUUCAUAAAGGGAUUUCAGUUCCUUAUUGUUAGUUCCCACUGGGGACCAGGGUUUGACUGAAAUAGUGGAUACAGGCUUCAAAUUUAGGCACUUAGAUUGCUAUUGGAGUGGCUAAAAUCACUGUUUGUAUGCCUUCCCAGAUAGGUUCUAGCAAGCAGUUGGUAAAUAUCCCACUUGCUAUUAAGCUGGUCCCCAGGCCUGGGUUAGAACAUCCAAGGUCAUUCCCUUUAAAGCUGGGGCAUGGAAUAAGGUCUUCUUGAGAUUUUAAAAAGUUUUUUCUGACUCUGGAUCCCACAUUAAUAGAUGGGUACCAGCUGUCUAGGUGUCCAGUUUUAUAGUUUUAGAUCUUACAUUUAGGUCUUUGAUACAUUUUGAAUUAAUUUUUGCAUAUAGUGUUGGGUAAAUAUCAAUUCCUUUCUUUCUUUCUUUCUUUUUUCUUUUUGCACAUGGAUAUCCAGUUUCCCCAGCACCUUUUGUUGAAAAUAUUGUCCUUUUCUUCAUCAAAUUAUCUAAGCACCUUUGUCAAAAAUCAUUUGACCAUGUAUCUGAGGGUUUAUUUCUGGGCUCUCUAUUCUGUUACAUUGGUCUGUGUGUCUGCUUUUAGGCCAGUGUGAAUCUUCCAGCUUUUCUUCUUUUUCAAGGUUAUUUUGUUUAUUCAUGAUUCCAAAUGAAUUUUGGGGUGGAUUUUUCUAUUUCUGCAAAAAGUGUCACUGGGAUGUUGAUAGGGAUUGCACUGAAUGUGUAGAUCACUUUGAGUAAUAUAGACAUCUUGCAAUAUUAGGUCUUCUAAUCCAUGAACAUGGGAUGUGUUUUAUUUAUGUCUUCUUUCAUUUCUUUCAAUAAUGUUUUAGUUUUCAUCAUACAAGUCUUUUACCUUGGUUAAUUCCUAAGUAUUUUUUUUUGUUCUAUUUACACCAUUGUAGAUGGAUUUAUUAAUUUCCUUUGCAGAUUAUGCAUUGUUAGUGCAUAGAAAUGCAACUAAAAAAUUUUUAUUCAAAUUCAAUUUCAUUAACAUGUAGUGUAUUAUUAGUUUCAAUGCUAGAAUGUAGCAAUUCAUCAGUUCCAUAUAACACCCAGGGCUUAUUAUAUCAAGUGCCCUCCUUAAUGCCCAUCACCUGAUUACCACAUCCCCUUCCCUUCCCUCUAGCCAACCUCAGUUUCUUUCAUAUAGUUAAGAGCCUCUUAUGGUUUGCCUCCCUGUUUUUAUAUUGUUUUAUUUUUCCUUCUCUUCCCCUUUGUUUGUCUGUUUUGUUUCUUAAAUUCCACAUAUGAGUGAAAUCACAUGGUAUCUGUCUUUCUCUGACUGACUUAUUUCACUUGGGAUAAUACUCUCUAGUUCUGUCCACAUUGUUACAAAUGAUAAGAUUUCAUUUUUGAUGACUAAGUAAUAGUCCAUUACAUAUAUAUACACAUGACGUAUUCUUUAUCCAUUCAUCUGUUUGUUGAUGGACACCUUGGCUUUUUGCCUAUUUUGGCUAUUGUGGAUAUUGCUGCUAUGAACGUUGGGGCGCAGGUGCCCUUUUGAAUAACUAUGUUUUUAUCCUUUGGAUAAAUACCUAGUAGUGCAGUUCCUAGGUCAUAGGAUAGCUCUAUUUUUAACUUUUUGAGGAACCUCUGUACUUUUUUCCAGAGUGGAUGCAUGAGUUUUCAUUUCCACCAAGUGUAAAACGGUUCCCCUUUAUUUGUAUCCUUCCCAACAUCUGUUGUUUCCUAAGUUGUUCAAUUUAGCCAUUCUGACAGGUGUGAAGUGUUAUCUCAUUGUGAUUUUGGUUGUAGUUUCCUGAUGUUGAGCAUUUUUUUCAUGUGUCUGUUGGCCAUUUGUAUGUCUUCUUGGGGAAUUGUCUGUUCAUGUCUUCUACCCAUUUCUUGACAGGAUUUUUUUGGGUUUUGCGUGUAGAGUAUGUAAGAUUUUGGAUACUGGCCCUUUAUCUGAUAUGUCAUUUGUGAAUAUCUUCUCCCAUCCUGUAGGUUGCCUUUUAGUUUUGUUGAUUGCUUCCUUUGCUGUGCAGAAGCUUUUUAUCCUGAUGAAGUCCCAGUAAUUCAUUGUUGCUUUUGUUUCCCUUGCCUCUGGAGAGGUGUCUAGCAAGAAGCUCCUGUGGCUGAGGUCAAAGAGAUUGCUGGCUCUGUUCUCCUCUAGGAUUUUGAUGGAUUCCUGUCUCACCUUGAGGUCUUUCAACUAUUUUGAAUUUAUUUUUGUGUGUGGUGUAAGAAAGUGGUCCAAUUUCAUUCUGCAUGUGGCUGUCCAAUUUUUCCAACACCAUUUAUUGAAGAGUCUGUCAUUUUUCCAUUGGAUAUUCUUUACUGCUCUGUAGAAAAUUACUUGACUGCAGAGCUAAGGGUCCAUUUCUGGGUUCUCUAUUCUGUUCCAUUCAUCUAUGUGUCUGUUUUUGUGCCAGUAUCAACUGCCUUGGUGAUUAGAGCUUUGUAAUACAGCUUAAAGUCCAGAAUUGUGAUGCCCCCAGCUUUGGUUUCUUUUUUCUUUUCUUUUCUUUCCCUCCCUCCCUUCCACAUCUCUCCCCUCACCCCGCCACCUUUCUUUCAGAUUUAUUUAUUUACUUGAGAGAGAGAAUACAGAGGGGAGAGAAAGAAUCCUCCACAAGUGUGGAGCCUGACACAGGGCUUGAUCCCAGGACCCUGAGAUCAUGACCUGAGUUGAAAUCAAGAGUCAGAUAAUUAACUGAGCCACAAAGGCAACCCGGUUUUCUCUUUCAAUAUUACUUUGGCUAUUCGGGAGUCUUUUCUAGUUCCAUACAAAUUUUAGAAUGGUUUAUUCCAGCUCUGUGAGAAAUGUUGGUAGUAUUUUGAUAGUAAUUGCAUUAAAUGUGUAGAUUGCUUUGGGUAGCAUAGACAUUUUUAACAAUAUUUGUUCUCCCAAUCCAUGAGCAUGGAAUGUUUUCCCAUUGCUUUGCAUCUUCCUCAGUAUCUUUCAUGAGUAUUCUAUAGCUUUCAGAGUAUAGAUCUUUUAACUCUUUGGUUAGGUUUAUUCUGAGGUAUCUUGUGAUUUUUGGUGCAAUUGUGAACAGGAUCAAUUCCUUGAUUUCUCUUUCUCUUUAUUGUUAGGAUUUAGAAAUGUAACAGACUUCUGUGCAUUGAUUUUAUAUCCUAUCGCUUCUCUGCCUUUUGGCUAAGAUCAAAUGUGAUUUUAUAUCCUAUGACUUUGCUGAAUUCCUGUAUCAGUUCUAGCAAUUUUUUGGUGGAGUCCUUUGGAUUUUUCAAAUAGAGUAUGUGAUCUGUGAAGAGUGAAUGUUUGACUUCUUUGGUAGGAUACCCUGGGAAGCCAACUAGCCCAAGACUCCUAUUUGUUGGGAGAUUUUUUUUUUUAAAGAAUUUAUUUAUUUAUUUGACAAGAGAGAGAUCACAAGCAGGCAGAGAGGCAGGCAGAGAGAGAAAGGAGGAAGCAGGCUCCCCGCUGAGCAGAGAGCCCGACUUGGGACUCGAUCCCAGGACCCUAGGAUCAUGACCUGAGCCAAAGGCAGUGGCUUAAUCCACUGAGCCACCCAGGUGCCCCGAGAGAUUUUUGAUUACUAAUUCAGUUCUUUGCUGAUCAUGGGUAUGUCCAGGUUUUCUAUUUCUUCCUGUUUUAGUUUGGUAGUUCAUAGGUUUCUAGGAAUUUAUCCAUUUCUUCCAGGUUGCCUAAUUUAUUGGUAUAUAAUUGCUAAUACUAUUCUAAUUGUUUGUAUUUCUUCAGUAAUUAUUUCUUUAAUCCAUUAAUAAUUUGUUAAAAGUUUUUGAUAGCAAAAAUGAUAUAAUGGACUAAAUAGAGAAGUUCUUUUAUUUUCUGAAAGGUGACAAAGCAUAAAACCUGAUAAAUUCCUUUUUAAAAAGACUUUCAGAGAAUCUAUAGAGCCUGCAAACCCUUCCACAAAGAAAAUGUGAACACAGAGAUGGAAGGCAAUUUUGCCUUAUAUUUUUGGCUUCAUCCUCAUGAUGUUUCAUGAAAACAAGCAUUGCCAUGAGGUUAGUUGAAAUUCCCACUGUAUUCACUUGUUGUUAUUUCUUU